GGAGACAGGUGCUGCAUGGCUGUCGUCAGCUCGUGUCGUGAGAUGUUGGGUUAAGUCCCGCAACGAGCGCAACCCUUGCCUUUAGUUGCCAGCAGUUCGGCUGGGCACUCUAAAGGGACUGCCGGUGUUAAACCGGAGGAAGGUGGGGAUGACGUCAAGUCCUCAUGGCCUUUAUGACCAGGGCUACACACGUACUACAAUGGCCGAUACAAAGGGCAGCGACACUGCGAGGUGAAGCCAAUCCCGUAAAAUCGGUCUCAGUCCGGAUUGGAGUCUGCAACUCGACUCCAAGAAGUUGGAAUCGCUAGUAAUCGUGGAUCAGCAUGCCACGGUGAAUACGUUCCCGGGCCUU
rnacentral:rRNA from 1 species